UGGGGAAUAUUGCACAAUGGGGGAAACCCUGAUGCAGCGACGCCGCGUGAGUGAAGAAGUAUUUCGGUAUGUAAAGCUCUAUCAGCAGGGAAGAUAAUGACAGUACCUGACUAAGAAGCCCCGGCUAACUACGUGCCAGCAGCCGCGGUAAUACGUAGGGGGCAAGCGUUAUCCGGAUUUACUGGGUGUAAAGGGAGCGUAGACGGAGUGGCAAGUCUGAAGUGAAAACCCUGGGCUCAACCUGGGGACUGCUUUGGAAACUGUUAAUCUAGAGUGUUGGAGAGGUAAGUGGAAUUCCUGGUGUAGCGGUGAAAUGCGUAGAUAUCAGGAAGAACACCGGAGGCGAAGGCGGCUUACUGGACAAUAACUGACGAUGAGGCUCGAAAGCGUGGGGAUCAAACAGGAUUAGAUACCCUGGUAGUCCACGCUGUAAACGAUGAAUACUAGGUGUCGGGGAGCAAAGCUUCUCGGUGCCGUCGCAAACGCAAUAAGUAUUCCACCUGGGGAGUACGUUCGCAAGAAUG
rnacentral:rRNA from 1 species